GAUGAACGCUGGCGGCGUGCCUAAUACAUGCAAGUCGAGCGAACGGACGAGAAGCUUGCUUCUCUGAUGUUAGCGGCGGACGGGUGAGUAACACGUGGAUAACCUACCUAUACGACUGGGAUAACUUCGGGAAACCGGAGCUAAUACCGGAUGAUAUUUUGAACCGCAUGGUUCAAAAGUGAAAGACGGUCUUGCUGUCACUUAUAGAUGGAUCCGCGCUGCAUUAGCUAGUUGGUAAGGUAACGGCUUACCAAGGCAACGAUGCAUAGCCGACCUGAGAGGGUGAUCGGCCACACUGGAACUGAGACACGGUCCAGACUCCUACGGGAGGCAGCAGUAGGGAAUCUUCCGCAAUGGGCGAAAGCCUGACGGAGCAACGCCGCGUGAGUGAUGAAGGUCUUCGGAUCGUAAAACUCUGUUAUUAGGGAAGAACAUAUGUGUAAGUAACUGUGCACAUCUUGACGGUACCUAAUCAGAAAGCCACGGCUAACUACGUG
rnacentral:rRNA from 1 species